ACAAAGAGAGAAAAGGUAAAAACCAAGAGAGAAAAGGUAAAAACUAAGAUAGAAAAGGUAAAAACAAAGAGACAAACGGUAAGAACAAAGAGAGAAAAGAUAAAAUUAAAGAGAGAAAAGGUAAAAACUAAGAUAGAAAAGGUAAAAACUAAGAUAGAAAAGGUAAAAACAAAGAGAAAAUGUAAAAACAAAGAGAGAAAAGGUAAAAACUAAGAUAGAAAAGGUAAAAACAAAGAGAGAAAAGGUAAAAACAAAGAGAGAAAAGGUAAAAACUAAGAUAGAAAAGGUAAAAACAAAGAGACAAACGGUAAGAACAAAGAGAGAAAAGAUAAAAUUAAAGAGAGAAAAGGUAAAAACUAAGAUAGAAAAGGUAAAAACUAAGAUAGAAAAGGUAAAAACAAAGAGACAAACGGUAAGAACAAAGAGAGAAAAGAUAAAAUUAAAGAGAGAAAAGGUAAAAACUAAGAUAGAAAAGGUAAAAACUAAGAUAGAAAAGGUAAAAACAAAGAGACAAACGGUAAGAACAAAGAGAGAAAAGAUAAAAUUAAAG